GAUGAACGCUAGCGAUAGGCUUAACACAUGCAAGUCGAUGGGCAGCAUGGUCUUAGCUUGCUAAGACUGAUGGCGACCGGCGCACGGGUGCGUAACGCGUAUGCAACUUGCCUCACAGAGGGGGAUAACCCGUCGAAAGACGGACUAAUACCGCGUACACUCUAUUUUGGGCAUCCAAGGUAGAGGAAAUGAAAUUCGCUGUGAGAUAGGCAUGCGUCCCAUUAGCUAGUUGGUGAGGUAACGGCUCACCAAGGCGACGAUGGGUAGGGGAACUGAGAGGUUGAACCCCCACACUGGUACUGAGACACGGACCAGACUCCUACGGGAGGCAGCAGUGAGGAAUAUUGGUCAAUGGGCGAGGGCCUGAGCCAGCCAAGUCGCGUGAAGGAUGUCUGUCUUAUGGAUUGUAAACUUCUUUUGUAGGGGAAUAAAGAGGGGCACGUGUGCCCCAGUGAAUGUACCCUACGAAUAAGCAUCGGCUAACUCCGUG
rnacentral:rRNA from 1 species